rnacentral:sRNA from 1 species
GCUGGGCGUGGUGGUGAUUACCUGUAAUCCCAGCGGCUCCGGAGGCUAAGGCAGGAGGAUCGCAAGUUCAAAGGCAGCCUCAACAAAUGCAAGGUGCUAAGCAACUCAGUGAGACCCUGUCUCUU